rnacentral:rRNA from 1 species
AUUGAACGCUGGCGGCAGGCCUAACACAUGCAAGUCGAGCGGAUGAAGGGAGCUUGCUCCUGGAUUCAGCGGCGGACGGGUGAGUAAUGCCUAGGAAUCUGCCUGGUAGUGGGGUAUAACGUCCGGAAACGGGCGCUAAUACCGCAUACGUCCUGAGGGAAAAAGUGGGGGAUCUUCGGACCUCACGCUAUCAUCUGAGCCUAGGUCGGAUUAGCUAGUUGGUGGGGUAAAGGCCUACCAGGGCGACGAUCCGUAACUGGUCUGAGAGGAUGAUCAGUCACACUGGAACUGAGACACGGUCCAGACUCCUACGGGAGGCAGCAGUGGGGAAUAUUGGACAAUGGGCGAAAGCCUGAUACAGCCAUGCCGCGUGUGUGAAGAAGGUCUUCGGAUUGUAAAGCACUUUAAGUUGGGAGGAAGGGCAGUAAGUUAAUACCUUGCUGUUUUGACGUUACCAACAGAAUAAGCACCGGCUAACUUCGUG